GGGUCCAACUUCAUUCUUCUGCAUGUGGAUAUCUAAUUUUUCCAACACAAUUUGUUGAAGACAUUGUCCUUUCCACAUUGAAUGACCUUGGCACCCUUGUCGGAGAUCAUUUGCCCAUGGAGACUGCGAGCUUCCUGGGCGGCCCAGCUCAGAUUGUGGGCCCCAAACACUGCUGACUCCUACUCCCCUUCCAAGGCACAUGGCGACCUGCACUUACUCCAGGGAGCCUCCUGGACCACCAGACCACAAAGCUCCAAGGAAAGUCACUGUUAUAUUUGCUGGCAUAGUUCCUAGCAUUUAUAGUUGCUCAGUAACUACGAGAUGGAUGGAUGGAUGGAUGAACAAAUGGGACAGAUGGACAGAAGGAUCAAUGAAGGAGCAGCUGGGCCAUUUUCCGGCUACCGCCAGAGGGCAGUACCCCACAACCCAAUGGCCCCACCCUGGGUUGGCUUGGAGGCUUGAGAUCCUUGGUCCCCACUCCUGCCCGGUGACUCACGCAGGAGGGCAGGCCACAGAGGAGAGGCAACACGUACGCAGCCCCUGGGAGCCCUGGGAGCAGUUGCGGGUGGGAAGUAGCCACACAUGCAGGCCUAGCACAUACCCAGCAUGCCAAUGCCCAGCAUGAAGGCGUCCAUCCCAUAGGGCAUGACUCGAGACCUCCCCCGGGCUGAGCCCGUCGGCGACAUCACCUCUUUUGGCUGAGCUUUCUUACAUUCCACCUGCAAUGAGACCUGAUGGUCAGUCCCUCCUCCGGACGUAGGGUCGUAGACCCUCUGGUUCCCUAGCCGGCCUCCUUCCUGUUAGGUUCAUAGAUACCAUUUAUGGCGUGCUCGCUGGGCGCUAGAGAUCAUGUAAACAGUUCUGCAGGCAGUUAGGGCUUACACCAAGCCCAGGAGGGGGCAUAGUGCUGCCUCAGACGCGGGGAAGUCAUCUCCCUAAUAAACAGACUAGCAAGUGGUAGAGUGAGGAUGUUAAUCCAGGACUCUCUGACUCCACGAGCCAUGCUUUUUAACCACCAGGAGACACUGGCUUCCUGUCCAGAUCUUCAGGGGGUGGGAGAACUGGCUCUGCCCCGUGGACUGUGAUUCCCUUCUGCCUGCCUCCAGAACCUCCGAGCGCCCGUGUCUCUCUCUGUGCACCUCCACCCGUCCGGUCUCCCCCACUCACCAUUUUGUUGUUGAUUUCAUGGAAGUGUAUUUCACACACUUUCUCCACGAUGUCCUCACUCUCGAACGUGACAAACCCGAACCCUAGAAGGCAAAGGCAGGGACAAAAACCAGGGUUUAUGGUCAAAACCCAGCCCCGAGUGAUACCACAUCAGUACUCCUCUUUCACGGGCCAGUGCCCGAGAGUUAACGGAAGCCUCCGCCCACAGCCUAGGAACCUCUCAACUCCCCUCCUGCUGAGACAGGGUUUCUAGUCCCCACAUUACAGAUGCGAAAGCCAAGGCUCAGAGAAGUGAAGUGACUUGUCCAAGGUCACACAGCAAAUUAGAAAGCGUUAGGGCCGUCAUGAAGAUACACUCAACAUGCCUUUUCGCUUUCUCAGAUGCUUUCCAAAGGAAGGAAGAACACACACAAACACUUACAUACAUUUACACAAAAGUGUACACACCCAAACCUAUGUUUGUACACAGUCACACAUAUACACAGAUGUACGCACACACACAUAUACCUAGGGACCCAUACAUCAUACAGAAACUUGGCAGCGCUCACAAAGGCCCCCCUACACAUGAAGAGUUACCAUGACACACAAGACACAUGCAAAUAUUCAGACACAGACACCCUCGCGUGCACAGAUACAAAUACACACACAUACAUACAUACGUGCACACCCCAGCACACAUCCCAAUCCCCAAACAGGCUAAUACACCCUGAAGCAAUUGGAGAAACAACCCCACCUCCUCCCGGGUGUGCCCCAGGGGUUGGAAUGGGAUUUCUCAGAAGGCAAGGCCCUUGGGAGAAAAACAACCGGGCAAUGCACACUGUGGCCCAGAUGCUCACAGGU